UUGGAGGGCAAGUCUGGUGCCAGCAGCCGCGGUAAUUCCAGCUCCAAUAGCGUACAUUAAAGUUGUUGCAGUUAAAAAGCUCGUAGUUGAAUUUCGGGACCAAUUUGUUGGUCGUGCCUCGGUACGUACUGGUAUUAUUGGUUUCUCCCUUCUGAAGAACCUCGAUGCCAUUAAUUUGGUGUCGUGGGGAAUCAGGACUGUAACUUUGAAAAAAUUAGAGUGUUUAAAGCAAGCAUACGCUUGAAUACAUUAGCAUGGAAUAAUGAAAUAGGACGUUUGAUUCUAUUUUGUUGGUUUCUAGGAUCGACGUAAUGAUUAAUAGGGAUAGUUGGGGGCAUUAGUAUUCAAUUGUCAGAGGUGGAAUUCUUGGAUUUAUUGAAGACUAACUACUGCGAAAGCAUUUGCCAAGGAUGUUUUCAUUAAUCAAGAACGAAAGUUAGGGGAUCGAAGACGAUCAGAUACCGUCGUAGUCUUAACCAUAAACUAUGCCGACUAGGGAUCGGAUGAUGUUAAUUUUUUAAUGACUCAUUCGGCGCCUUACGGGAAACCAAAGUGUUUGGGUUC
rnacentral:rRNA from 1 species